rnacentral:lncRNA from 1 species
GCAUUAAUACAGUACCAAAUAUACUCUAGAAGAUGUCUCUCUUGAAUAUAUAUUAAAAACAAUCAUAAGAUGAGCAUUUCUUACAGUCAUGGAGAAAUCAGUGGAAGAGGAAAUUAAUCUACAGCUUGAGAAAAUGAAAGAAAAGCAAGAAUCUGAAAGAAGGAGAAGGAUAGCUGAAGAGAAGCACAAGGAAUGGGUGCAAAAAAAAAGAGAAGAGGUAAAUAUUGCUUUAGUUGUAAAUAUUAUAGCACAUGCUAUGCUUUAGUAAACCUAUGUAAAAUUUGCUCAGGCUUUUUGGAUAACCGUGUUUUUACUUUGCUGAAUAAUGGCUGUUUUAAUUGAAAAUUAUAAAAUCAC